CACGUAGGGCGCAAGCGUUGUCCGGAAUUAUUGGGCGUAAAGAGCUCGUAGGCGGUCUGUUGCGUCCGCUGUGAAAACUCGGGGCUUAACCCCGAGCCUGCAGUGGAUACGGGCAGACUGGAGUACUGCAGGGGAGACUGGAAUUCCUGGUGUAGCGGUGGAAUGCGCAGAUAUCAGGAGGAACACCGGUGGCGAAGGCGGGUCUCUGGGCAGUAACUGACGCUGAGGAGCGAAAGCGUGGGGAGCGAACAGG
rnacentral:rRNA from 1 species